UACGGGGGGAGGCAAGCGUUGUUCGGAUUUACUGGGCGUAAAGGGCGCGUAGGCGGUCAGCACAAGUCAGUUGUGAAAUCUCCGGGCUUACUCGGAAAGGUCAACUGAUACUGUGCGACUAGAGUGGCAGAAGGGGCAACUGGAAUUCUCGGUGUAGCGGAUGAAAUGCGUAGAUAUCGAGAGGAACACCUGCGGCGAAGGCGGGUUGCUGGGCUGAACACUGCGU
rnacentral:rRNA from 1 species